rnacentral:rRNA from 1 species
AGUGAACGCUGGCGGUAGGCCUAACACAUGCAAGUCGAACGGCAGCACAGUAAGAGCUUGCUCUUACGGGUGGCGAGUGGCGGACGGGUGAGGAAUACAUCGGAAUCUACUUUUUCGUUGGGGAUAACGUAGGGAAACUUACGCUAAUACCGCAUACGACCUACGGGUGAAAGCAGGGGAUCUUCGGACCUUGCGCGAUUGAAUGAGCCGAUGUCGGAUUAGCUAGUUGGCGGGGUAAAGGCCCGCCAAGGCGACGAUCCGUAGCUGGUCUGAGAGGAUGAUCAGCCACACUGGAACUGAGACACGGUCCAGACUCCUACGGGAGGCAGCAGUGGGGAAUAUUGGACAAUGGGCGCAAGCCUGAUCCAGCCAUACCGCGUGGGUGAAGAAGGCCUUCGGGUUGUAAAGCCCUUUUGUUGGGAAAGAAAAGCAGCAGGUUAAUACCCCGCUGUUCUGACGGUACCCAAAGAAUAAGCACCGGCUAACUUCGUG